UGGGGAAUAUUGGACAAUGGGCGAAAGCCUGAUCCAGCCAUGCCGCGUGUGUGAAGAAGGUCUUCGGAUUGUAAAGCACUUUAAGUUGGGAGGAAGGGCAGUAACCUAAUACGUUUCUGUCUUGACGUUACCGACAGAAUAAGCACCGGCUAACUCUGUGCCAGCAGCCGCGGUAAUACAGAGGGUGCAAGCGUUAAUCGGAAUUACUGGGCGUAAAGCGCGCGUAGGUGGUUUGUUAAGUUGGAUGUGAAAUCCCCGGGCUCAACCUGGGAACUGCAUUCAAAACUGACAAGCUAGAGUAUGGUAGAGGGUGGUGGAAUUUCCUGUGUAGCGGUGAAAUGCGUAGAUAUAGGAAGGAACACCAGUGGCGAAGGCGACCACCUGGACUGAUACUGACACUGAGUGCGAAAGCGUGGGGAGCAAACAGGAUUAGAUACCCUGGUAGUCCCUGAGCGGGCUGGCAAGGCGCAU
rnacentral:rRNA from 1 species